rnacentral:rRNA from 1 species
GAUGAACGCUGGCGGCGUGCUUAACACAUGCAAGUCGAACGGGAAACCUUUUAAAGAAGCUUCGGCAGAUUUAGCUGGUUUCUAGUGGCGGACGGGUGAGUAACGCGUGGGUAACCUGCCUUGUACAGGGGGAUAACAGUCAGAAAUGACUGCUAAUACCGCAUAAGCGCACAGGACCGCAUGGUCCAGUGUGAAAAACUCCGGUGGUAUAAGAUGGACCCGCGUUGGAUUAGCUAGUUGGUGGGGUAACGGCCUACCAAGGCGACGAUCCAUAGCCGGCCUGAGAGGGUGAACGGCCACAUUGGGACUGAGACACGGCCCAGACUCCUACGGGAGGCAGCAGUGGGGAAUAUUGCACAAUGGGGGAAACCCUGAUGCAGCGACGCCGCGUGAAGGAAGAAGUAUCUCGGUAUGUAAACUUCUAUCAGCAGGGAAGAAAAUGACGGUACCUGACUAAGAAGCCCCGG